AAGCAUGUUAACUAAGGACUGCAGCUAGUAUUGUAGCAGCAGCUUCUCCAACAGCAUGCAAGAAAAACGGAGGGGCUUUGACAGGUUGGGUCCUCCAACUGGUGCCGCAAGCUGUCACUCAACCCUCCUACAAAC